AAAAAUUGGGCAAUGGGACCAUGGUGCAUCAUGCAUGCAACAACUAACCCUUAAUUAAUAGAAAUUGAAGGAGCUCCAAAACUUGUUGUCUCAAGCGCGCUCGCCACCUUUCGUCGGAGCCGUCGAUUUCUCUCUCUCUCUCUCUCUCUCUCUCUCUCUCUCUCCUCAUCCCCUCCCCUUUCUCGUGAGAAAAGGAGAAGAUUGAUCCCAAUUUUGCUGUUUUUCCGUGAAGAAGGAUCAUACAGAUGGAUCAUAACUUGCUAUCUUGGGAUGAUGACAUAAUGGCCCAUCGCCGCCUUAAGAACAGGGAGCGACAAAGAAGAUACAGGGCGAAGAAGCGCCUAGAAGCCGAUAUGUUGAAAUUAAGCAUGUUAGCCCAAAGCUCCAAACCGAGUUCAUCUCAAGCAACUGGAGGUGUUUCUCCAGUGGCUGCUUUUGCAGUUUCCGGGCCAAUAGAACGCGUGCAUUGCGGCCGGAAAUGGAAGAAGGAUGCGAGAAGAGCUCACAUAUCUGAAGAACUAGCCAGCCUUCCUCGCCUUCCUGCUCUUCUCCUUAGGUCUCCUGUACAAACUGAAGCCUGUCACAAGUGCUCUUCCCAACCCACCACCAAAAGGCAGUGGAAAAUGGAGGCGAGAAACAAAAUGGCCGCGACUUAAUAUACUCGAGAAAUGAUCGAUACAGCUGAUCGCGUGCUCCUUCAGAAAUUUAGUUUUUAACAAACAUAGUAAAUAUAACAGACAAAAAACUGAGAGAUCAAAUUACUGUUGGAUUGUAUAUGUGGGUCCUGCAUUUUUAUCAAAUUCUUGAAGACUUUCGUAAUCGUGCUUGUGCUUGUGCUUGUGAGAGUUGGUGUUGAUUGUUUAUUUUUGAUACACUUUCCUAUAUUUUGUAGGGAAAUAAAGAUGUACGGAGAAUAACUGAAGAACAACACAAAGUUCGGUUGAAGAAAUCAUAUAUGGAAAGCAGAAUGAAAAGAAAAAGAAAUGCUUAGAUAUUUGCUUUGAGACUGAAACAUCCCUCAGUGCCAGCAAAUAACAGCAACACUAUAAAGAAAGAUAAAGAGCCGCCGCCGUCCCCGACUAGAGCUGCCAUAUGUAUCACUUUUUCGCAGCCUCAAAUUUGGAUGCACAGCUGAGCAAAGUUCCAUAAGUAGAGCAUCUUCGAGCAUGCAGAUUUUUUAUGCGCAGUUCCACAACAAGUUCUCUCGUAAACUGGUGGAGUUUUUGGAGAGAGUAUAUCUCGGAUUCUGUUGGUUCAUCAUGCUUGCUAGUUACAAAAGCAGGGCAUCUGCAAAAGCGCUUCCUUUAUGCUGCUGCUUUCCACCAUUUGCUUCCUUAGGAAGCCUCAAUCAUCGCAUUUUCUGAUGUUAGCUCCGCCACAAACUUGUCGAAAACGAGUAUUGUAUAGUUUACUUUUUUCCAAUUAAAAAUAGAAAAAACUUUUCGCGCUUCCUUAAUGCCUAAGCCUAUGA